CCUACGGGGGGCUGCAGUGGGGAAUAUUGGACAAUGGGGGGAACCCUGAUCCAGCCAUGCCGCGUGUGUGAAGAAGGCCCUCGGGUUGUAAAGCACUUUCAGUGAGGAAGAACGCCUGGUGGUUAAUACCCAUCAGGAAAGACAUCACUCACAGAAGAAGCACCGGCUAACUCCGUGCCAGCAGCCGCGGUAAUACGGAGGGUGCGAGCGUUAAUCGGAAUUACUGGGCGUAAAGCGCGCGUAGGUGGCUUGAUAAGCCGGUUGUGAAAGCCCCGGGCUCGACCUGGGAACGGCAUCCGGAACUGUCAAGCUAGAGUGCAGGAGAGGAAGGUAGAAUUCCCGGUGUAGCGGUGAAAUGCGUAGAGAUCGGGAGGAAUACCAGUGGCGAAGGCGGCCUUCUGGACUGACACUGACACUGAGGUGCGAAAGCGUGGGUAGCAAACAGGAUUAGAUACCCUAGUAGUC
rnacentral:rRNA from 1 species